rnacentral:rRNA from 1 species
CAAUAAGCAAAAUAAGGGCGUAUGGGGGAUGCCUAGGCUCUCAGAGGCGAAGAAGGACGUGAUAAGCUGCGAUAAGCUUCGGGGACUGGCACAUACAGAUUAAUCCGAAGAUUUCCGAAUGGGGCAACCCACUAUGUUGAAGACAUAGUACAUCGAUAGAUGGGCAAACCCGCUGAACUGAAACAUCUAAGUAGGCGGAGGAGAAGAAAACAAAAGUGAUUCCGUAAGUAGUGGCGAGCGAACGCGGAUUAGCCCAAACCAGUGUUGUUAAGGCAAUACUGGGGUUGUAGGACCACGACAUUUCUUGCGGAUUGAAUUAGAAUUACCUGGAAAGGUAAGCCAUAGACGGUGAUAGCCCGGUAUAAGUAAGAGAAGAUAAGGAUAGUGGUAUCCUGAGUAGGGCGGGGCACGUGAAACCCUGUCUGAAUUUGGCGGGACCAUCCGCUAAGGCUAAAUACUCCUGAGAGACCGAUAGUGAAC